rnacentral:rRNA from 1 species
GAUGAACGCUGGCGGCGUGCCUAAUACAUGCAAGUCGAGCGAACAGACGAGGAGCUUGCUCCUCUGACGUUAGCGGCGGACGGGUGAGUAACACGUGGAUAACCUACCUAUAAGACUGGGAUAACUUCGGGAAACCGGAGCUAAUACCGGAUAAUAUAUUGAACCGCAUGGUUCAAUAGUGAAAGACGGUGUUGCUGUCACUUAUAGAUGGAUCCGCGCCGCAUUAGAUAGUUGGUAAGGUAACGGCUUACCAAGGCAACGAGGCGUAGCCGACCUGAGAGGGUGAUCGGCCACCCUGGAACGGAGACACGGUCCAGACUCCUACGGGAGGCAGCAGUAGGGAACCUUCCGCAAUGGGCGAAAGCCUGACGGAGCAACGCCGCGUGAGUGAUGAAGGUCUUCGGAUCGUAAAACUCUGUUAUUAGGGAAGAACAAAUGUGUAAGUAACUAUGCACGUCUUGACGGUACCUAAUCAGAAAGCCACGGCUAACUACGUG